AGUUUCUCCAGCAUGUCACACUUGUGGACCUUCCUGGAAAUGGCGAUUGCAACAAGAGCAGGAACGAAAUGUGGAGACAAAUUGUUGGAGAUUGUUCUACUGUGUGGAUUGUGGCUGAAAUUACUCGGGCAGCAUCAGAGAAUGAGGCCUGGGAGAUUCUAAAAAGUGCACAUGGCCUCAUUGGAAAUGGUGGUCAGUGUGAGCAAAUUCACUUUAUCUGCACCAAGUCUGAUCCUUCAGA